rnacentral:rRNA from 1 species
GAUGAACGCUGGCGGCGUGCCUAAUACAUGCAAGUCGAGCGAACAGACGAGGAGCUUGCUCCUCUGACGUUAGCGGCGGACGGGUGAGUAACACGUGGAUAACCUACCUAUAAGACUGGGAUAACUUCGGGAAACCGGAGCUAAUACCGGAUAAUAUAUUGAACCGCAUGCUUCAAUAGUGAAGGACGGUUUUGCUGUCACUUAUAGAUGGAUCCGCGCCGCAUUAGCUAGUUGGUAAGGUAACGGCUUACCAAGGCAACGAUGCGUAGCCGACCUGAGAGGGUGAUCGGCCACACUGGAACUGAGACACGGUCCAGACUCCUACGGGAGGCAGCAGUAGGGAAUCUUCCGCAAUGGGCGAAAGCCUGACGGAGCAACGCCGCGUGAGUGAUGAAGGUCUUCGGAUCGUAAAACUCUGUUAUUAGGGAAGAACAAAUGUGUAAGUAACUAUGCACGUCUUGACGGUACCUAAUCAGAAAGCCACGGCUAACUACGCG